UACCAGCCUGUUGGUUUCGUGCGAGGGCUGUGAAGUCGAACAAUCGCCCCCGUUCGAAUCAGAGGAGGCACAGGACAUUUAAUGCUUCAAAAAAUUUGGGCCCAUGUGAACGAUCAAGAAACGGUUCGUCGUACGCUCAACGGUUCCGGACUCUUGUAAUGUCAGUUUAUUUUUUAUAUUAUUUUUAUCGCGUUUCACACACCGGUGUUUGAAAUACCCACUACCCCACUGGGAAGUGUAGUAACUGAUUGUGGAGGAAUACAUACAUCCAAGUGAUGCUGCAACGGAUGGCCGUGGUUGCGGUGUCAGUGUGGUUGUCAUUCUCGAGGUGUGUUCAUGUGCUUGGAUGUAUCCUUUUCGGCUUCGGAAUCCGAAUCAUGAAGAUGCAAAAUAUCCGUUUUCAACCAUAAUAGUGGAGAUGGAUAUUGUUUUCCGUUUUCCCACUUUAAUGCACAUGUUACUGAAUGCCCUUCUGAGUAUUAUUUGUUAGGUUAUUUUGUUCUAGUUCUAAACGUACAGCGGCCUGUGGGUCAUAUCAACUGAAUUAGUAUGACUCGUCUAGAUUUUGUGCAGUCAAGUUCCGAAGCUCGUAAUUAUCGGUGGAGAUGUCACCUGGAAGUUGUGCAGGGCUCACUGAAAAAUCUUUGUGUUGGUGGAUUUCUCCACUUGUUCUUUUUUUGAGAUCUGAUGAGAGUUGUCUUAAUGAUUAUUCAAUAUGUCUCAACUGCAGCCUAUGGGGUUGCUGAAGUUAACAUUUCUCAAGAAAAUUUUAUGCAACAUAGGAAGUGAAUAUUUAUCGUAAUUCCUGAUUUGUAUGUCUUACUAGGAUUGCAGAUUCGCUAACGGUUGAUCUUAUAAGAAUGAAAACAUAUAAUCAAUUUUCCAAUUUUUGAGAGCAAGCCCAUUCACAUGUUACGAAAUCCUGCCAGAGAAGGUUCUUCACAAUCGGGGUAAAAAUUUAUAUCGAUAGUGUGCAGCAAGCUUCUCGUGUUUCCAAGCGAGUCACAGGGUUUUACUCAGACAUCAUAAUUUCAGAAGAGACUGCAUCAGAAACCUGUGAUAAAUUCCUGCUCUAAAUUUUCACUUGUUACAUCUCAGAAGUGACGGGUGAUACUGAUAAUGGCUGAGAAGUUCAUUCCCACAUCAGCGAAAAGCUCUACGUACUCCAUACCUCCAGCUUCGUCCUUAAUUUUCUUAAUCAUGUCGAUGAAAUGAUACAUAUUCGAAAAAACUUUCACAUUCUAUCGUUUUACGAACAUGAAUGUGGACCGGAGGAGGGGGGUCGAUGGAGCUCCGUGAGUAACGGUGAGGAAGGUAGGCGCUGAAGGGCGAUGGCGACUGUACGUGCUCACACUAGCUGUGAAACCAGUCACUGAACAUUCUUAGUGUAGUUUUGAUACAGCUUUCUCGCCGAUCUAACCUGCUCUGUGGUAGAUGAUGAAGUUAGGCCCCUUCAUUUUAGUACACACCAAAUGGGCGUGAACAACAUCCAGAGACAUGGGUUAGGGUUAGAACAAUGCCUGUACAAUGACAUAUGCCAACGCGGUUCGUCUAGGAGCAGGAGCGACACAAAUCGUUGAGGGGGGGAGCGGCACAACGGUCACAGCGACAAGCAUAUGGCAGACGCGCACAACCUGGAUUUUGGUAACUUCACUCUACUCGCAAGGGACCCAGCUGGCGAUUAACUCAACCAAGCCCAGGGAGGGAGGGAUACUCCAAAAAAUAUGCAGGAUUCCUAAUCAAGACAAACCACAAACGGAUUCACAUGUCAGAAGAGGUUGUUGCAGCUGAAGAACGUUAAAUGCGGGAGCAGGUUGUGGUGCCCUGCCUCCUCAGCAUCAAAUCCAACCAAUCUGCAUUUGCAACAUGGCUUGACAAGCUUAACUCUAAACUGUUGAGUAGAAGAAUCACGUCCAUCAACAAAGUGGGCCAAGGGAUUUUUUGUCUGCUUACUCUAGAUCUAGAAGUUGCCUAAUAAAUCCUUGUACUUACACCUCACAGACAAUGGCUUCUGUGUAUUUUUCAACAAUGGACUCUAUAAUUCAACCUGAAGAACAAGAAAGGUAUAAUCAUCCCCACCUGGAUAUCAUUCAAGAACUUACUCUGGCAAUUCAACGAUGUUGCCCUAGAAAUUUUACAAGCCCUUGGAAAAGUACUUGGGGCAAACAUGAAAAAUACCAUGUUCACUAAACCCUGCUUUUAUAUUGUACUUGAUACCAACAAAGGUUGUUAAAUAGAAGAUGGACAAUCCAAAAAACUUACAAUAGUGACUAUGGACUAUGCAAAUCUUCCAAUAUGUUUCCGACUCUACUUAGAAGUGGAUCACCACAUUAACAUUUCUCGCUUUUUUUUCCCUUGGGAUUGCCAAAACUAUAUUGCAUUAUUUUUAGACAUGUCUAAGAAUGAAGAAGAUCUAGGAAUGGAGCUUGUAGCUCAUCUAUAAACUCCAACAAAAAAAAACCAAUCCACUCAUACAAUCCAAUUUUCUCUA
rnacentral:lncRNA from 1 species